UGACCUUUCAACUCUUGCUCGGUGAAAGAGAAAACCACGAGAAGCUCCAGCAAGAAAAAAAAACCCAGAUUUAGAUCGAACUAUAGAACACAGUUGCUCUCCCCACACCGACCAGCUAUGGUGGAUCUAACCAACGACGAUCCUUGUUCGAUUGAGCAGCAGCAACAUCCGGGAGCUCUUCAACCCAAAAUUUAUCCUCUUCAUCCCAACGAUGAUCCUUUGCCAGUAGGUAUUAUUAUUAUGCCUCACUAAGUAAAUACUUAGCGUGUGUUGGUUUAACGCGUAUGUAUUAAUACAAGCGGAGUAAGGAGUGCAGCUGACAUCAUCAAUCCAAGGUUGCCUCAUCAGUAACUGUAUGACAAAUAUAUCUACUUUUGAUAUUAUUAGAUGACAUGUAAUAGACUUAUGGAAAUGCUUUGGAAUAUAUUUGACUUUUGAUUAUUGUAAUAUUUAAUAUGUUAUAAUUUUAAGACUA